rnacentral:rRNA from 1 species
GACGAACGCUGGCGGCGUGCCUAAUACAUGCAAGUAGAACGCUGAAGGAGGAGCUUGCUUCUCUGGAUGAGUUGCGAACGGGUGAGUAACGCGUAGGUAACCUGCCUGGUAGCGGGGGAUAACUAUUGGAAACGAUAGCUAAUACCGCAUAAUAGUAGAUGUUGCAUGACAUUUGCUUAAAAGGUGCAAUUGCAUCACUACCAGAUGGACCUGCGUUGUAUUAGCUAGUUGGUGGGGUAACGGCUCACCAAGGCGACGAUACAUAGCCGACCCGAGAGGGGGGCGGGCCCCCCUGGGAUUGGGGACCGGCCCCAACCCCUCCGGGGGGAGCCGUGGGGGAAUUUUGGGCAUGGGGGGGAAGCUGGCCGCGCCACGCCGCGGUGGGGGAGAAAGUUUUCGGGUCGUUAAAGUCUGUUGUUAGGGAAGAAAGAGUGUGAGGGUCGAAAGUUCACACUGUGACGGUAUCUUACCAGAAAGGGACGGCUAACUACGUG